ensembl:lncRNA LINC02055 long intergenic non-protein coding RNA 2055
AAUGAGAACAUCCUUGAGGAUCACAGAGUCCAGAGUCCCUAGAGAGAGGGAGAGCAAUCAUGUCUUCUAGACGGCAAGUUACUUACACAUAUGUCUAGUCUCUUCUGAGGUGUAAGAACACAGCACUCUUCCCCUCUGAAGGAUGUAGCAACGACAUGCCAUCUUGGACACAGACCCAGCUCUCACCCAACACCAAAUCUGCUUGUGCCUUGAUCUUGGACUUACAACCUCCAGAACUUCUCUCUCUGUUGCCCAGACUGGAGUACAAUGGCGUGAUCUCAGCUCACUGCAACCUUCGCCUCUUGGGUUCAAGAGAUUCUCCUGCCUCAGCCUCCUGAGUAGCUGGGAUUACAGGGUUAAGCAAUUGACUAUCAAUCAAUAAUCUUUUAUGAAAGAAGAGAUGGUGCAGCACACGCAUGCCCAAUAUUAAGAGAGAGAAGACAUUUAUUGAGGCAAGCAGCUGGAGUGGACCUGCCCCCAUCACCAGGCCAGCUUCCCACCUGCACGUGCAGCUCUUUCUUCUUUUGCAGGAGGCUGGCUCUGCUCAUUAGACAUGCAACAAAGAGCUGGCCUGUGGAGCACACAUCCAUAUUCAUAACUCAAGUCAGCUGGAAAGUUGUACAUUUUUCUUUCUGGGAAGUCAUGGCGACAAAGACUGAAGACCCAGGCAGCACAAAUGUGAAUGAUGGUUCCAUGGAAAAGAGAAGGAGGUGAACAAAAGGAAGAAAUGCAGAGAAAAAUAUGGAAUAGAAAUAUGAGGGAAGAUAUUAGCAAACUGGCUACAUCUUUUAUGACAAACUCAACUGAUUACAUCUUUUCCAAGAACAUCUUCAGAGGUUUGCUGGAGUUUGGAUUUACUACUGAGUCAUAUUUGGAGCAUGCUGGAAUCUUACAACUGAGAUUACCGAGUCAGAAACUAAUCCUUCCCACACAUACCGUACUUAUGGUGAAGGGAUUUCAGAUAUAGGAUGCUAUUCUCAGACGACUACAUGAGGACAUAACAAGAAGAUGGUCAUCUACACGCCAGGGAGAGAAUUCUUACCAGAAACCAGCUGUGAUGAACUUUAGUCUGAGACUUUCCAGCCUCCAACACUCUCAGAAAAUGCAUUUCUGGUCCUUAAAACCCCUAGUCAGUGAUAUUUGUUGUGGUAGUCUGAGCAGACUAAGAAAUCCACUCUUUUGCCCUUUGCUAACUUCUACAGUUUAAUGUAAAUGCCAGUUUAAUUGUAUCAACCAAAAAUUUCCAUGGCUAUUUUUUUUAAACAUGUGUUUUCCAGUCUUAAUACAUUAAUACAAUUCAGAUUCUAUUAUGUGCUAAUUAAAUUUAGAUGAUUUAUAUGAUGGUCUUCUGAACUACUUCUCAAAUAAAAGUAGUACAUCCUCC